rnacentral:rRNA from 1 species
GACGAACGCUGGCGGCGUGCUUAACACAUGCAAGUCGAACGGAAAGGCCCUGCUUUUGUGGGGUGCUCGAGUGGCGAACGGGUGAGUAACACGUGAGUAACCUGCCCUUGACUUUGGGAUAACUUCAGGAAACUGGGGCUAAUACCGGAUAGGAGCUCCUGCUGCAUGGUGGGGGUUGGAAAGUUUCGGCGGUUGGGGAUGGACUCGCGGCUUAUCAGCUUGUUGGUGGGGUAGUGGCUUACCAAGGCUUUGACGGGUAGCCGGCCUAAGAGGGUGACCGGCCACAUUGGGACUGAGAUACGGCCCAGACUCCUACGGGAGGCAGCAGUGGGGAAUAUUGCACAAUGGGCGGAAGCCUGAUGCAGCAACGCCGCGUGCGGGAUGACGGCCUUCGGGUUGUAAACCGCUUUCGCCUGUGACGAAGCGUGAGUGACGGUAAUGGGUAAAGAAGCACCGGCUAACUACGU